GUGGUGCAUGUGCACGUGCUAACGAAUGGAUGAUCAUCAGGCAAAGCAGCUGCCCCUACAGCGCGAGUAAGAGAAAAUCAAUCUGGCAUCUGACGGACGAUGGGAUGAAUGUGGAGGUGAAGUUUUGAGAUCUGCUUGAAAAGAAGUUUUCCUGGCAUCUCUCUGACUCAAGUGAAUACAGUGAGAGGAGUUUGAAAAGAUGGACUGUGACCAUGAGGAUGAACGCAGUGGCCAGUCACCAACUGGAUCGGAAUCCAACUUUCGUGAAGAUAAGCUGCAAGAUAGUUCAGUUCUUAGUACAUCAGCUUUUCAGCACACUGCAUCAUCUCUUGUAAAAGACUUGGAAUCUACUAGAACAUGUCUAAAGGAUAGUGAAUUAUCACCAACUGAUGAACUUUCUGGGAAGGAAAACUUGUGUCUUAUUUCCCCUCUUAGCAAAUCGAAACCACUAGCAUUUGAUGUGCAUAUCAAAGAAGUCCCAACAGAUUUGAAAAAUCCAUUUCAGAAUGUUCUAAACCCACCUGGCAGUGACAUCAGCAACGCUUUUCCUGUCUGCGUUCAACUACCCACAAACCAUCUUAAAAAGUCACAUAUCACUGCUUAUAAACCAACACACCAUCAUCGCAAAAUCAGCCGGUCCUCCACCUCCACACUGAGUCGUAUGAGCCUGAAAGCCCCUGUUGAAGACCUGUGUGCAUCCUUUCUGUUGGCGUGUUUGUUCUGCAAGUUUUGGGAUUGCAUGCUGGCCGUUGGUGAUGGAUGUCAAUUCUGCGUGGCCUCUAUCUGUUCGUCCUUCUGCUCUAACGCAUGCUGUUGCGACCCUUCCAAUCUGGAGGACUUUAUAGAUUUUUGCACAUGUUGCAGCUGCACUGAAUUCAUGGAGGCAUGCGGCUGCAGGUGUGGAGAAAACGCCUUUGACUGCUCCAUUUGCGAUCUUUGUCUAGAGACGACUGAAUGUCUGGAACUAGGCAUGGAACUCUCCCAGCUUCUGUUUCACUAG
ensembl:lncRNA